rnacentral:RNase_P_RNA from 2 species
UCUGUGAUAAUCUCACAUUUGGAGCUUCCAACAGAGUAUCUGUUACUCAGUAAUUAGCUUCGGGAAGGUCUGAGUGAGCCAUUUAUUCUCUAGAUGAGAACUUGUGUGUUACAAGGCUGGGGAACCAGAAAUAUGCAUGAAAAGCUUAUUUUAGCCUGGGACUGUUUUUAAACAUGAGGUGAAGAGCUUAGCAUGUUGGAAUCCCCAGUGGCCGGCAAUUUUAGUGCAAUUUGUGAGCUGGCAUUUGUCAGAACUCAAUUCAGACUAGUCUGUCACAGA